rnacentral:rRNA from 1 species
AGUGAACGCUGGCGGUAGGCCUAACACAUGCAAGUCGAACGGCAGCACAGUAAGAGCUUGCUCUUACGGGUGGCGAGUGGCGGACGGGUGAGGAAUACAUCGGAAUCUACUUUUUCGUGGGGGAUAACGUAGGGAAACUUACGCUAAUACCGCAUACGACCUACGGGUGAAAGCAGGGGAUCUUCGGACCUUGCGCGAUUGAAUGAGCCGAUGUCGGAUUAGCUAGUUGGCGGGGUAAAGGCCCACCAAGGCGACGAUCCGUAGCUGGUCUGAGAGGAUGAUCAGCCACACGGGAACGUAGACACGGUCCAGACGCCUAAGGGAGGCAGCAGUGGGGAAUAUUGGACAAUGGGCGCAAGCCUGAUCCAGCCAUACCGAGUGGGUGAAGAAGGCCUUCGGGUUGUAAAGCCCUUUUGUUGGGAAAGAAAAGCAGCAGGUUAAUACCCCGCUGUUCUGACGGUACCCAAAGAAUAAGCACCGGCUAACUUCGUG